GACGAACGCUGGCGGCGUGCUUAACACAUGCGAGUCGAACGGAAAGGCCCUGCUUUUGUGGGGUGCUCGAGUGGCGAACGGGUGAGUAACACGUGAGUAACCUGCCCUUGACUUUGGGAUAACUUCAGGAAACUGGGGCUAAUACCGGAUAGGAGCUCCUGCUGCAUGGUGGGGGUUGGAAAGUUUCGGCGGUUGGGGAUGGACUCGCGGCUUAUCAGCUUGUUGGUGGGGUAGUGGCUUACCAAGGCUUUGACGGGUAGCCGGCCUGAGAGGGUGACCGGCCACAUUGGGGCUGAGAUACGGCCCAGACUCCUACGGGAGGCAGCAGUGGGGAAUAUUGCACAAUGGGCGGAAGCCUGAUGCAGCAACGCCGCGUGCGGGAUGACGGCCUUCGGGUUGUAAACCGCUUUCGCCUGUGACGAAGCGUGAGUGACGGUAAUGGGUAAAGAAGCACCGGCUAACUACGUG
rnacentral:rRNA from 1 species